rnacentral:rRNA from 1 species
GCACAAGCGGUGGAUGAUGUGGAUUAAUUCGAAGCAACGCGCAGAACCUUACCAACCUUGACAUCGAGAUCGCGGUUUCCAGAGAUGGAUUCCUUCAGUUCGGCUGGAUCUUAGACAGGUGUUGCAUGGCUGUCGUCAGCUCGUGUCGUGAGAUGUUGGGUUAAGUCCCGCAACGAGCGCAACCCUCGCCUUUAGUUGCCAUCAUUAAGUUGGGCACUCUAGAGGGACUGCCGGUGAUAAGCCGGAGGAAGGUGGGGAUGACGUCAAGUCCUCAUGGCCCUUAUGGGUUGGGCUACACACGUGCUACAAUGGCGGCGACAAUGGGCAGCGAAGGGGCGACCCGGUGCAAAUCCCAAAAAGCCGUCUCAGUUCGGAUUGCACUCUGCAACUCGAGUGCAUGAAGGUGGAAUCGCUAGUAAUCGCGUAACAGCAUGACCGCGGUCGAAUACGUUCCCGGGCCUU